GUCUUAUUAAGAGUGAGUGGAGGGAAUUGGCCCUAUGAAGCUCCAGCAACUGCGCUUUGCGUGAGGUGCUAAAUCCAACAGGAGUUUCCUGAAAGAUAAGAA
rnacentral:ncRNA from 21 species